UUCCGGUUGAUCCCGCCGGACCUGACUGCUAUCGGAUUGAUACUAAGCCAUGCGAGUCUUUGUAGUAAUACAAGGCAUACGGCUCAGUAACGCGUAGUCAACCUACCCUAUGGACGGGAAUAAUCUCGGGAAACUGAGCAUAAUACCCGGCGUACCAUCAUGCCUGGAAUGGUUGGUGGUUAAAAUGAUUCGUCGCCGUAGGAUGGGACUGCGACCUAUCAGCUUGUUGGUGGGGUAAAGGCCCACCAAGGCGAUUACAGGUACGGGCUCUGAGAGGAGAAGCCUGGAGAUGGGUACUGAGACACGGACCCAGGCCCUAUGGGGCGCAGCAGGCGAGAAAACUUUGCAAUGUGCGAAAGCACGACAAGGUUAAUCCGAGUGAUUUCUGCUAAAGGAAUCUUUUGCCAGUUCUAAAAAUACUAGUGAAUAAGGGGUGGGCAAGUUCUGGUGUCAGCCGCCGCGGUAAAACCAGCACCUCAAGUGGUCAGGAGGAUUAUUGGGCCUAAAGCAUCCGUAGCCUGCUCUGUAAGUUUUCGGUUAAAUCUAUAUGCCCAACGUAUAGGCUGCCGAAAAUACUGCAGUGCUAGGAAGUGGGAGAGGUAGACGGUACUCGGUAGGAAGGGGUAAAAUCCUUUGAUCUAUCGAUGACCACCUGUGGCGAAGGCGGUCUACCAGAACACGUUCGACGGUGAGGGAUGAAAGCUGGGGGAGCAAACCGGAUUAGAUACCCGGGUAGUCCCAGCUGUAAACGAUGCAGACUCGAUGAUGCAUUGGCAUAUAGCCAGUGCAGUGUCGCAGGGAAGCCGUUAAGUCUGCCGCCUGGGAAGUACGUACGCAAGUAUGAAACUUAAAGGAAUUGGCGGGGGAGCACCACAAGGGGUGAAGCCUGCGGUUCAAUUGGAUUCAACGCCGGA
rnacentral:rRNA from 1 species